CAGCAGUACACAUGAGGACAGAUUUGGGAAAAUCACCCUAUUUUCUCCCCUCUCUGCAACAUUGAAGACACUUGUUUUUCCAAGCCACGACCCUGGCCCUGCAUUUGUGCUACUUCUGGGAAAUGCAACGGUAGGAGUUGCCACCAGUAUUUCAAGGUAGCAUCUUUUUCUGGGUAAUGGACAAGAAGGACAGCUGGUAGAAACCUUAUGGGUACUCAGAAAUGGAUGUAGGCUUUCUGACCUCAAGGUAAAGGUUUUAUCCCUUUCCAAGAGAAUGUGGAGAUCUGUUUAAUUUAUUCUUUUUUCCCUGUAAAACAGCUGCUUUGAAUUUUGUGAUCCGAUGAGAUGAAGGUCACUGGAAUUUCCUUCCCUUUCCUUCUGCUUUGGAAAUGACUUCUGUAUCAGCCCUGGAGAGUGAAGCUCUUCUAACUCAAGACAAAUAUUCUCCACGUGAGAGGUAUCAUCAGAGUCCUAAAGAGAAGCAGUAGAGGACCACAGCAGCCCAAAAUGGGCUCUCCACAAUGCCACAAACAGGGGGUUUCUCCUAGCAGCAGAGGAUGGCUGAGAUGAACGAGGCUUUAUCCAAAUGUUAGGGAACAGAACACAAAUAAAAGGCCUCCUUCUUCUCAAAGCCCACACGCUCUCUGAGAAGCUGCUCAGCAUUGAGGAGGCUGCCACGUCCUGAGUCAUCAGCAUUUCCAAGGAGUCUUCUGGGCAGUGACAAUAGUGGGAUGCAGACCCAAGCCAGCCAGGAUUUACUUGGUCCCCUGGAGGAAUCAUUGGUAUGAAAUGAUGCACACGUUACUGGCAGCUAUAUCACACACUGCAUGGCAUGACACACACAUAAGUGAGAUUAAUGUGAGUUCUGGGCAUCAUUAGCUCAAUUAAAACUGUGAUUUUUUAGUUCAGACCUACAGGCCACUGCAGAGAAGAAUAAUCAUAAGGCAGAAAUGAGUUCCCUAGUUAAAAAUUAAUUCCCUAGACUAAAAAUAUAAUCAAAUGAUGUCUACAGUAUUUUAUGAAGAGCUGAGAGGAUAAUAAAAUUUAGAGCAGUGCAACAUUUGCAUUUUGUUCAUUUCUAUCCAUAUUUUUCCACACAUUGCCUUUCUCUGUGCUUGUUAAUCACACGCGCUGCUACAGCCCUGGCAUUUUAAGAUCACUCUUCACAUCAAGAUUGAAAGGAAACUAAUUACAAUUACAUUUCAGGGUGGUUGUUUAAAGCUGGUACAGCAUUGAAUACAGCAGAGGAGCCUUGACCUUUAUUUGUAAGCAUGGAAAUAAGGUAAGGAUGAAAGAUUGCUUUUCCUCCGGCUCAUAGGCAGGGAUCAGGAGGCCCUCCAGAAAAGCAGGGAGGUGGAAAGUCCCCUUCAAUUUCUCUUCUCUCCUCCUCUCCCGUGCUGGCAGCAGAGGCCAGUAGUGCUAUGCAGAAGCCGUGCUCCACUGCAGCGAGAGGGGAAGGGAAGCACCACACAUGUUGCAGCUCCCUCGGGCUGCUGGAAGGAUAAGCAGUGAAUCAGCAGAGCUGAGGACCUUGCUGUUUUGACCCCAGCCCAGCUCAUUUUAGCACACUAGUGUAUGGCAAAUCCUUCCCUGGGGCUGGGCACAGACACAAGCUCACCUGGUACUUCACGCUGCACUGAUGCAAUGAUGGAAGAUAUUGAUGUUCAUGGGAUACCUGCAGGCAAGAGCUGUGAGCAGUGCUGCAAACUCUGCUGCUCACAUUAUGGUACCAGUAGGAUCUGUGUGAGUGCAACAGGGGCAGAAUAAGGACCCCUACCCUGAGGAAAUACAGGUAAUCCUAGCAUAGUCUUACUUUCAUAAAAAGUGAAUACAUCUAGAGCGUGCUGAAUGGCAAAUUUACUCAGGAGGUUUAACUUGCUUCUGUGUCUUCGUAUUUUCAAAAGUUUAAUUUUAGUAAAUUUGUACCAUGCUCAAAAUAAACCAAGAGGUAGUUCCACAAACAGGUUCAGAACAGGAGUUGCUGUUGUGGUGGAGCUCUGGAUGUCCCUUUCAGUAUCAUCACCUGGCGUUUGAAGUCUUGUAAUGGUGUGUAUUGGGCGUCAGGAGAUCUUCUGUUCUCCGCAGGUUGUCACAACUUCACACUGAAAUGGGUUCAUUGAAGAUACAGCACUGAAGGCAUUCUGCAUGCCAGACCCACAAAACGUAGGCAAUGAUCAUAGUGUUUCAUGCAUAUGGUGCUGCAUUCAUCUUACACAAUCAUUUCAUUCGUCAGCCCCCCUUUUCUGGCAGAAGUCACUGCUGGUCCCUGAAGUCCAGUGAAUUUUAUAUCUACCAGGUCAUUAUCAUCCGUGGGUCAGAAAAACUCCUUUUCUGGGUAUUAAUUAAUUAAAAGAGGGAAAACUGCCACACACAAACCCAUCCCAACAGCUCCCAACCUCCAUAGGCAUGGUGCUGGCUAACCCAGCUGGCAGAUGGCCAUGCUGUGUUGAGGAUGCUGGGGAUCUGGUUGCCACUUCAGCCAAGAAAUGAGGAAGGUUUCACAGCACUUCCGCAGUGCAUUCUGCAUCUGUCUGCAUUCUCAAAGCAAAAAUUUAAUCAUGCAAAUAUUUACAGAAAUUGGGGAAAAAAAAUAAAGACCAGUGAAAACCGCCGCAGUGAACUUCUAAUUACAAAUCCACAAAGUGUUUAUGAAUAAAUUUAUCUGUUAUUUGUCUUGUUCUAGCACGGCACAUACUUUGCCUUGUACCAUUACAGUCUGAAGGAAACAAUAUGCGGCAUGAAAAUGAAAACAAUUUGACUUAAUUAUUUAUAACAUUACCACCCUUUUGAAUUAAGCCUUCCAUUUCUUUGGUAUUUUGUAAAAUUUAACUGGUAAUUACGCUUGUUUAAUUCAUUUAUUUUUCUACUACUACAAGGAGAUUAAAAAAAAAAAAGACAAAACCCUACCAGAAUGCAAAGUGCCACUAUGUUCUCAAAUUGUAAAUGAUUCUUUUAAGCUUUUAUGACAAAAAAAAAAAAAAAAAAA